UGCAGAGGCUGGACUCUUAGGUGUUUAGUUCUCAUUGGAUAAUUGACUUAAGAGUCGGCCAUCUUGUUGUGUGUAUAAAGUAAAUGUUUGUUCUGCCAUCUGUAAAAUACUGUGAAGAAAGCUGUGUAUAAAGUGUAACCAUGUGGCAGCCAUAUUGGAAGACCUCAGCCUUGUGCCACCUGCAGUGUACCUGUGAACACCUGAUUACAUUUCUAAAGUCAAACCUCUGAUGAUUCAACACAGUGCACUUCCUCCUGCGCUGCUCUGUGUAUCCCAGAUAACGCCUGAUGGAUUCUGACAGGCUGAUUUAGGACAGCGAGGCCGAGCAGCUAAAGACCCUCCAGAUCCACCCAGAUAGGAGAUGAUGGCCGCCUCCGCCCGCCCUGCACCUACACCGUGCAUUAUGACUGAUACCAUCCUGCUAAGCCAAGCACUUUGCUGCUCGUCUGCAGGAUAUUAGCUCAGCCGGGGGUUAUUCAUAGACUAUCAAGACUGGAGCUGCGGUCGGGAAAUGCUGACUUAUGUGUAAAUAUCAAUUAAAUUAGUGGAGUCCUUGUUGCUGAGGGUGCAUUGCCUGGUUUUAAUGGGCUCGGACACUAACGGCGCUGCAUGAAUCACAUUUGUACAAGAAAUGAGCAGCAGAUAUUAGAUUAUACUUGUUCACACUCACAUUAACUGUUUGUGUUUGUCAUGAAGCAUAAUGAUUACACUAAACGUUAAUGAUGCAAUGCUUUUAUUGGGAUUAGUUAGUUUACAUAUAGAUGCUGUCUUUUAAGCAAUAAUACAUGACAACGUUUUGGUAUAAAUUAAUGCCCAUUUUAUAACUUUAUAUCUUCAGUUAGUGGAAUUAACUAUCAUCAGUUUAUAAAAGUGGUACAUCUGUUAAACUUGUGAUAGAUCACUCUUUACUGGGGAGAUGUGAAAUGUAUGGAAGCCCUCAGAGGCAAAUGACUUAAUAAACUUAUGGAAAAAAACCAAAA